GGGAGCUCUGCUGGUUCCCAGAGAGGUCAAGGAAGCGCAGCCUGGCCAGGCCGGUGAACGCCCCGCGGCUCAGCCAGCGGAUGCGGUUGGACUCCAGGUGCAGGUAGAGUAAAUUGGGCAGCCCCGAGAAGGUGGAGUCGCCCAGCGAGCCCAGCUCGUUGCCAUCCAGGCGCAGCUUGACCAGGCUGCUGAGGCCAGAGAAGGAGGCGGCGCUGAGGCGGCCGAUCUCGUUGGCAUUUACGUAGAGGAUGCGCAGCUUGACCAGCGCGCUGAGCGUGCCGGGGACCAGCGCAGGCAGCAGGUUGUUGCCCAGGUAGAGCUCCUCCAGCCGGCCCAGGUGCUCAAAGGCCUUGGGAUGCAGCGAGCGGAUCCGGUUGUACUGCAGGUCCAGGCGCUGGAGCCCGGCCAGGCGGUGGAAGUCGAAGGCGGAGAUGUUGGCGAUGAAGUUGCCUCCCAGGCUGUAGAUGGCAGUCAGAGGACUAAGCCACCCAUAGUACCUCAAGGAAUGACUUUUCCUUCAUCCUCCGCACCAGCCUGCUCGGGCGGUUCCCGGCACAGCGGUCAGUGAAGAUGUAGCUGAGCAUCAUUAGCUCCAUGAGGCUCUUUGGAUGCUCUGUUGAAAAAAUUCCAUUUUUAAAAAAUCCAAGUGAAAGGAAGGUGUCGGAAAGCAUGCUGAAAAGCAAGUAGGCUGUGUACCCGUCCAUUCACUGCCUUGCUUUUCUUUCCUGUUGGCACUGGUUUUGUUUCCUAAGAUGCUGCCAGCAGGGUAAAUGAGUGUCUAAGGGCAGGAGGAAAUGAGUAUAUAUGCAAGCUGUUUAAAGCUGUCAAGUGCAAGAAGAGAAGGAAGAUAACACCCAAAAUACCAUGUUGGAAAUCCAAUAAAUACUUUGGAAACUGCGAAUUUAUGCCCAGCCGCAUACGUUUGAAUACAUUUCUGGAUCAUGCCUGUUCUUGCACCAGAAAGAAAACUUCAUAUAGUGGCAGCUGUGUUCUUAGUGACUGUGUCAAUGUGAGCAGAAAGCGUGGUACAGGACUUUGUGCUGAGGCCCUCUUGCCCACUGUUAUGGAGAGGCACUACGUUGAGCUAGAUCUGACUUGGACCUUCUGUCUUGUGGUUGGAGAACAAAAUGCAUGCUCCAAGUCUGCUCUGAGGAUGAAGCAAAGUAUUCUACAUGGAGACAGUCGGCAGAUUUGCUUCAAAAGCACAGUAUCAGGAAGAAGAGAUCUUGAAGAAAACUCAUGGAUCAGUCAAUGGACUAUUUCUAUGAGCAUCUUGAUUCUUAGCUCUUGUUAUAUGACUCUUUAUAUGAGGCUUUAUAAAGGGGAAUCAUUUUGUAGUGGUAACUGUGCUGUGCUGCUGUGGGAAGUAUGUUUAGGACAGGAGAGUGACAUUUUAGAUAACCUGGACAAAUUUUGCAAAUAUCUUCUAAAAAUCAAGUGAGCAGCUAUGAAUUAUUACUUGCUCUUUGGGAAAACCCAGUGUGAAUAACAGUGUACUGGAAUAUGGUCAUGUCAAGGUGGGUUGUCUAAAGGGAGUUUGAAUUUAAAGCUAGAGAAGUGUUGUGGGUUUUUGUUUGUUUGUUUGGUUGUUGUUGUUGUUGUUGUUUUGAGAAAAUACAAUUACAGUAGGCAGUCUUGAUAGUCUAGAAGAGUAAGUGAAAAAUAACCUAACUAUACGCCAAAGUGUACUCAGAGGGAAAGAUGUCAUGGCAUAUUGCCAUCAAAAACGAAAGAUUUCUAAUUAAAAAUGGUGGUGAUCAGAGUUGUCAGAUUCCAAAUCCUUUUGACUUCUGAAGAUUUUUCUGCUAUCUUGUCAUCAAACGAGCAUGUUCUUAGAUUAACUUUUAUUUAGAAUUGUGCAGUAAAUUGUAGCUGCAUUGUUUUCUGGGGAUAAGCAGAAGUUUAUUUGUUGAGUUUCUGGCUCGACUGUACAUACUUUAUUUUGAGCAGUACAAUUAGUAAGGCAUUCUUUUUCCUACAGUGAGUCUAAGCAAGUUUCACACGAUGAAUUUUUUGCUGUCCUUUCUUCUUUUUUUUCUGUGUUACAAAAGGAUCUCUUCCAGCAUUUGUUUGUGAUUCUAAUGCCCAUGGAUAAGAAUCCAGAGAUUUUAGCUCAUCCUCUUACUUACUGAAUAUGUAUUCUCUUGCCAGGUUUUUUCUUUUCAGUGUCUAUCGCAUCACGUCUAAUAUUAAGGACAAAGUAGAGUGUUCUCCUUGCUACAAAAACUGUGUUUCUUUUCUCACUCUCAAAACUACUAUAGUACUGGAGAGGACACUCUGUCUAAUUUUUGUUUAAUUGCAAGUAACGAAUUUUUCCUCCAACAAAUUUGGUUAACUGUGGUGUGCUUUAAAAAGUGAAAUUUGAGGAAACCAUUCUGUAUAAUGGUAUGCUUAUUUUCAAUUCCUUUGGGUUUCUUUUUUUUUUUUUUUUUUUUUUUUUUUUGAAACAUACUUGAAAGUUUAAGGGCAAUUUAUGAACUGUCCUUCCUGUAGAAGCACUGUAGAUCUUUUUCUGUCCGCAUGUCAUUGCAAGUACUUCAGAUUUAAGUCAAAUUAUGUCUUGUGCAGUGGCAUUGCUUUCGGUUUAUGUAUUCUGACACUUAGCCAACAUUGUUGUUUUCACUGGGUUUUGGGGAAUUGUGCGUGUUGGAAUUUUUGUUGAAAAAUCACUAGUGAUGCUUAGGAAAUUAUUAUUCACCAUACAUUAGGAACACAGCUGCUCAGAAAAAAAAAAAAAUGCCACAUUUGUUUUCCUACUUUGGAACGGAACUUUCUAACUGCAGUAGUUCUUGUUUCCUUAUACAAACACACAGUAACAUUUUAAACGUGUGAUUGAGAAAUAGUAAUCAUUUACCACAAAGUGAAAAAAUAAUCUGACUAUGAAAAACGGUUGGAAGAGAACUACGAAAGUAGUAUCUUUUUAAGUUUAUCUUAAAGUACACCUUUGUUAUUAAGAUUUAAAGCAUGAGGACUUUUAAAAGGCAGGAAUGAAUAGCAAAACCAGAAAUGCUAUCUUUCCUCUGAUAUAUAUCUAUACCCCUGAUAAUUGUGAGAAAACUGACCUUAAAUCAGGAUUUCAUUCACAACUAAAUAGUAUCCAUAUGGUUGUUAUACGGAAGACUUUGGACUUUUUUUUGUUGUUUUUUUGAUUUUUGAGAGAUGUUAUCUAGGCACUGAUUAGAGGGCUGGUGGUUAAACAUGUUGUACACAUAGUUGUGGGCAGAAUGCAAAAUGGAGUGAAAGAAGCAGCAUGCUUAGUGUGGCCUAUCCCAGCAUAUAGUCGGAAUGUGGCAAUACCCAUUAAAGAAGGAAGAAUUACUCUUUCUUGAUUCUGGAAUAGAAGAAUACUUGGUGCCAAACUGGUAAGUUUAAGGCUGAUACCUCAUAACUUUAUGUAGUUAUUGGGCAUGAUAAUGAGAGCUUUAUCUCUCAGAAGAGCAAUUUUCCAUUGGUCUGUGCAGUUCCACUGCCCACUAAACAUCAAGGGUGUUCUCAUUUGAAUUUAUACAAAACGUUUCUAGAAGUGUUAGCUUUAACCUUUGUUUCUUACUGAGCCGAGUGGCUUAACAACACAAUUAAACAAUUUGACUUUAGCAUCAGAAUUCUCAUAUAAAACAAGACAGAAAGCUUCUGUAAAUUGGUAUGUGGGAUGCACAUGUUUUGUUGGUUACAAUAAAAAACCUUAACUUGUGGUUAUUUGACUUCCAGUGUCACUGGAGACUGUGGUAUACAUCCUAACUCAGUUGACAUAAAUACAUAGCUUGUGAAUUUUCAGAUGAAAUGUAUAGAGUUGCAAUCAAAAUUUUGAUAAUGUAUCUUUGCCAUAAGCCCAACCUUAAAAGAUAGAAAUACCCUUCACUUCACAACCACACUUUAUUCAUGUCAUGGCUUUUUGGCAGUACACGCAUUUGUGAACAGAACAGCAGUUUUCAAGGAUGAAGCACAGGAAGAGUAAAAUUUAAUCAGAGAUCUCUGACGAACACCUUGGGAGCUCACAAAGAAUGGCAACCACUGCUAUCAAACCGGCCCAAUGCGUUGGUUCCACAGAAGCAAGAUCACAUAUCCCACUAGUUUUAUGGUUUUGUUGCUUUUUUUCUUUGUAUAUUUUAAUUAAGGAAAUAAAAUGUUUUGUUACUUAUAUACAUAGAUUAUAUAUUUUAUGAUGGCUGCUCUGAAAGUAAUGCCUCCUAUUUUAUGAUGUUGUCCAGUGACAUCAGAGGUGGAUUUUGGUGUAUGGCGUCACAGAUUGAACCUUCCCACCAAUAUUCCAUUAUAUGUUGUUGCCAUGUGACAAAUGGCAGCAGAGGGGCAGUCUGGCAAAAUAGCAUGUGGUAUGGAAACACAGAUGAAGCAAAGGUGUGGAAUGGAAUUCCUUCAUUUGAAAAAAAAUUGCACCCGCUGACAUUCACUGGUGCUUGCUGAAUGUUUCUGGAGACCAAACAGUGGAUGUGAGCACAGUAGAGCAGUGGUGGUGCGUUUCAGCAGUGGUGACAGUGAUAGCAGGUCACCUCUGCUGGUACAGAUUGUUUUGAAUGUGGUAUGCAGGCUCUUGUUCAUCCCCAGGGAAAAUGCACAGCUAAUGGUGGAGACUAUAUUGAAAAAAACAGUGUUCUGUAGCUAAGAAUUUGAUCUAUUAAAUAGUGUUAUUGUGUUCUUUGUUUCUAUUGUAGUUUCCAUGGAAAUAAUUAGAAGGUAUUCAGAGCAACCUUUGUGGAUAUGGCCCUAGAAAAUUCAUUUUCACUCAAUGCAGCCCAGGCAAGCCAAAACGUUGGACACCUAUGGAUUAAAGCAUUUUUUAAGUGGUCACCAUUUUGGUGCUAUUCUGUAUGUCAGUGCCAGUAAUGCAAAUACCAUAGUGUAGGAAAACAUGAGAAUUCUAGUGAUAAAUGUGGUAAUAUUUUUUUCCCUUAAAACUGCACAAACAGUUCAUCUGUGCUGUGUAAUUUAUACUGGUUGCACUUACAGUUGUAUUUCACAUUUUAAAUAAAACUUCCUGAUAUGGUGGUUUGUGUUCGUUCAUAACGAAAUGUCAUUUGUGACAUCCAGUUCUUCAGAAAUAAAGCAUGACUCCCAGAGCAAUAGUUAAUACUAUAUACUUGUUCUGCUCCAUGGAAGGAAAGCCACCAGAUGUUUAAUAGAUAUCUGCUCUCAUUAUCCAUAGAGGCCUGUGGGCUAUAAGGCUCUGCUGAUUGCAAAUACCAUUAAAUCUUUUCCGAACUAAACAUCUGAGUAAAGUAUUUGUGUUUUAUGACAAGAUGGUAGACUAGAUGUGCUUUUAGCAUCAAGGGCAUGUUUAGUCAAACAACCAUAACCCAGUGAGAAUUUCACACAGUGUAG
rnacentral:lncRNA from 1 species